UCUAUAAAGAAUAAUCUUUUUUUAGAAA
rnacentral:tRNA from 1 species